CUUGCUUUGGCAACAUGUAUGAACACUGAAAAAACACGGAGAAGAUUAGCAUGGCCCCUCUGCAAGGUUCACAUGCAAAUUCAUGAAACAUUCCAAAUAUAU
ensembl:snRNA U6 U6 spliceosomal RNA